rnacentral:rRNA from 2 species
AGACCCGAAACCCGGUGAUCUAGCCAUGGGCAGGUUGAAGGUUGGGUAACACUAACUGGAGGACCGAACCGACUAAUGUUGAAAAAUUAGCGGAUGACCUGUGGCUGGGGGUGAAAGGCCAAUCAAACCGGGAGAUAGCUGGUUCUCCCCGAAAGCUAUUUAGGUAGCGCCUCGUGAAUUCAUCUCCGGGGGUAGAGCACUGUUUCGGCUAGGGGGCCAUCCCGGCUUACCAACCCGAUGCAAACUGCGAAUACCGGAGAAUGUUAUCACGGGAGACACACGGCGGGUGCUAACGUCCGUCGUGAAGAGGGAAACAACCCAGACCGCCAGCUAAGGUCCCAAAGUCAUGGUUAAGUGGGAAACGAUGUGGGAAGGCCCAGACAGCCAGGAUGUUGGCUUAGAAGCAGCCAUCAUUUAAAGAAAGCGUAAUAGCUCACUGGUCGAGUCGGCCUGCGCGGAAGAUGUAACGGGGCUAAACCAUGCACCGAAGCUGCGGCAGCGAACGUAUCACCCAAGACAACUUUACGGAGUUGACGAUUGACGGAGCGAAGCGACGUCAAAGCGUUCAUUAAAGUCGAGUUGGCUUAGGGAUACGUUCGUUGGGUAGGGGAGCGUUCUGUAAGCCUGUGAAGGUGUGUCGUGAGGCAUGCUGGAGGUAUCAGAAGUGCGAAUGCUGACAUAAGUAACGAUAAAGCGGGUGAAAAGCCCGCUCGCCGGAAGACCAAGGGUUCCUGUCCAACGUUAAUCGGGGCAGGGUGAGUCGACCCCUAAGGCGAGGCCGAAAGGCGUAGUCGAUGGGAAACGGGUUAAUAUUCCCGUACUUGGUGUUACUG